rnacentral:lncRNA from 1 species
CAAUCCCGGUGUUACGUCAACAAAAUAUGUCCGCCAAACACCAUUUUUGUUGAUUAGGGGGCUUAAUUGACCAGGAUCAGUAAGGUCAGGGUCUGAAAUUCAGGGAUUCAAAGGUUAAGAUCUAAUUCAGACUUUGUCUACAAGUUUAGGGUUGAAAAUAGACUUUUCUCUAUAUGUAAUAAGCAAAUUUUGCUCUUGGCAGUUGACACGAGAAAAUCCUAGUCGGAUUCGGCCGCCUAUUUUGAUUUGCACGACACUUCCCUUUCGGCGAAGAGAUGAAGCGUUAAAACAGAACACAAUAAUACGCCAUCAGUGUUAAUAUCUUUAGCCAUGAUCUUCGCCCAUCGGACCGACCGACACCCUUCCUUGUUUGUUCACAGUACCGAGUAUUUUUCUUUUACGCGUCUAGGUAGUGGCCGAUGGCCCAAUAAGCCGACUGAGCGCACGCAGGUGAGCUGGCCAGGAGUUUGCCCGAGCGAUGCAGGUGGGCAUGUCUGUUCACGUGCUUGUUCGCUACUGUUUUUCUUUUUUUUCCUUACAAUAGAAUACGUUGCAUGUAGUACAGCAGGUACGUAAGUGCAUUUGGUUCUGAUUUUUUUUUCAGAUGUCGUAACUUUCAAAGCGAGACUCGAAAUUAUGAUCCGUUUUCACUGUUAUCUCUUUCGCGACGAGAUCUUCAAAACUAGAUCUAUUUUGAUCAAUAUUUUACAAAAACAACUUUAGUGUGUCAGGUGACAACUUCUUUUAAGAUGACAAUUUUGGCUCUUAUACUGGAAACUUUUUGGCUCAUACACUAGCAACUUUGGAUGUCAUACUGGCAACUUUUUGACUCAUAUACUAACAACUUUGGAUGUUAUACUAGCAACUUUUUGACUCAUAUACUAACAACUUUGGAUCCGACACUAGCAACUUCGGAUACAUUACUGGCAACUUUGGCUCUCAUUCUAGAAACUUUGGUUCAGAUACCAACAUUAGUUUUUACUCCACUAUAGCAACUUCCACUCCAUGGUAGAUAAAUUUGACUCUCAUACUAGCAAAAUUUUCUCCAAUAUUGACAACUUUGAUCACAUAAUAACAACUUUGUCGUUCAUACUAACAACUUUUGCUCCAACCCGGUAGCAGUUUUUGCUCUUCUCUAAAAUACCAAACUUUGGCUUUCAUGCUAACAACUUUGCUGCAACUCAGUAGCAGUUUUUGCUCCAUUCUAGUAAUUUUCACUCAAUCACAAACAACUUGGGUGUUCCCGGUGGCAAUUCCCGCUAAUGUGCUGGCAACUUUGCCCUCUCUGCUGGCAACUUUGACUCGUGUACUAACAACUUUGGCUUGCAUACUAGCAUUUUGGCUCCCAUGCCUGCAACUUUGGUUCUCAUAUCAAUAUCGUUGGUUUGCUCCAGUAUAGCAACUUCCACGUACUCCAUCGCUUUUGGUGUGUCUGGUCGCAACUUUUGCUGAUGUGUGGCAAUAUUUUCUUUUAUGUUGGCAAUUUUUGUAUUGAAGCUAGCAAUUGUCUUAUAUUUUCGCAACAUUUUCUUUAGCAACUAACUAUGCAUGUUUAGGAACUUUACAUUCUCAAAAAUCUGCCUAAUGAUAUGCAUGGCAAAGCAACUUUUAAUCCAAGUUUUUUUAGAGCAAGCAUCUUUUAAUAAUCAAAUAGUAAGCAACU